rnacentral:rRNA from 1 species
UACGAAGGGGGCUAGCGUUGUUCGGAAUCACUGGGCGUAAAGCGCACGUAGGCGGAUCUUUAAGUCAGGGGUGAAAUCCCGGGGCUCAACCUCGGAACUGCCUUUGAUACUGGGAUCUCGAGUCCGGGAGAGGUGAGUGGAAUUGCGAGUGUAGAGGUGAAAUUCGUAGAUAUUCGCAAGAACACCAGUGGCGAAGGCGGCUCACUGGCCCGGUACUGACGCUGAGGUGCGAAAGCGUGGGGAGCAAACAGG